rnacentral:tRNA from 1 species
GCGCCCGUAGCUCAACUGGAUAGAGCGUUGGAUUCCGGUUCCAAAGGUUGGGGGUUCGAGCCCCUCCGGGCGCACAA